GGGCCAGAACAGGAGGUUUGGCGUGUUUGUUUUUAGUUUGAGAUGUGUGGUUUGUUUGGCCUCAAGGCCU
ensembl:miRNA